CCCCCUCACCCCCGCCCCCCCGGCGCCCUCGGCUUUCCCGUGACGCUCCCGACCUCAGGGUCGCUCCCAAACCUCCUAUUGUCUCGGAGGUGAAGAUGCAGGAAAAGGAGCUUCUAGAGACCCCUGCGUUCCCUGGUUCCUGGCCUCAUCCUCCGCCUUCAGAGCCAGCAAUGCAGCAUCUGUAGCACGGACUCCUCCCACUUGAAAGGCCCUUCUGAUCACCUCAGGCCCACCCGUAUAACCAGGACCAUCUCCUUCUAAGGGGAAAGUUAAAUACACGCCUCGGCGUACACUCCGACACGGAAUGUCUCAGAUCGCACGGA